UACGGAGGGUGCAAGCAUUAAUCGGAUUUAUUGGGCGUAAAGGGCGUGUAGGUGGGGGUGUAAGUCAGGUGUAAAAGACCGAAGCUCAACUUCGGAAUUGCACUUGAAACUGCAUCCCUUGAGGGUGGGCGGGGGAAACGGAAUUCCACGUGUAGCGGUGAAAUGCGUAGAUAUGUGGAGGAACACCGGUGGCGAAGGCGGUUUCCUAGCUUACAACUGACACUGAGGCGCGAAAGUGAGGGGAGCAAACAGG
rnacentral:rRNA from 1 species